GCAAACUUGGUCAUUUAGAGGAAGUAAAAGUCGUAACAAGGUUUCCGUAGGUGAACCUGCGGAAGGAUCAUUAUCGAGUUGAAAGGGGUUGUAGCUGGCCUUUUACGAGGCAUGUGCACACCCCACUCAUCCACUCAACACCUGUGCACACUAUGUAGGUUUAGAUGAGCAUCGGGGCUUCGGCUUCGGUGGGAGUCUGACCUAUGUCUUUAUAAACUCUGUUUAGUAAAUGAAUGUAAUUGCGAUAAACGCAUUUUAUACAACUUUCAGCAACGGAUCUCUUGGCUCUCGCAUCGAUGAAGAACGCAGC
rnacentral:misc_RNA from 1 species